GAUCCUAAGGCCGACGGAAGAAGCAUUGUUAAGGAACUCGGCAAAAUGACCCCGUAACUUCGGGAGAAGGGGUGCCCUGUGAAAGCAGGGCCGCAGAGAAUAGGCUCAAGCAACUGUUUAGCAAAAACACAGGUCUAUGCGAAACCGAAAGGUGAGGUAUAUGGGCUGACGCCUGCCCGGUGCUGGAAGGUUAAGAGGAGAAGUCAGGCAACGAAGCUUCGAAUUUAAGCCCCAGUAAACGGCGGCCGUAACGAUAACGGUCCUAAGGUAGCGAAAUUCCUUGUCGGGUAAGUUCCGACCCGCACGAAAGGCGUAAUGAUUUGAGCACUGUCUCGACAAUGCAUCCGGUGAAAUUGAAGUACCAGUGAAGAUGCUGGUUACCUGCGCCAGGACGGAAAGACCCCAUGGAGCUUUACUCCAGCUUGAUACUGGGAUUCGAUACUGUAUGUACAGGAUAGGUGGGAGACGUUGAGCAUAGAACGCCAGUUUUAUGUGAGUCGCUGUUGGGAUACCACCCUUGCAGUAUUGGAUUUCUAACCUGCACCCAUGACCUGGGUGGGGGACAAUGUCUGGCGGGGAGUUUGACUGGGGCGGUCGCCUCCGAAAGGGUAUCGGAGGCGCUCAAAGGUUCCCUCAGAAUGGUUGGAAACCAUUCGAAGAGUGCAAAGGCAGAAGGGAGCUUGACUGUGACACCGACGGGUGGAACAGGUACGAAAGUAGGACUUAGUGAUCCGGUGGUAUAAAGUGGGAUUGCCAUCGCUCAACGGAUAAAAGCUACCCUGGGAUAACAGGCUUAUCACUCCCAAGAGUUCACAUCGACGGAGUGGUUUGGCACCUCGAUGUCGGCUCAUCGCAUCCUGGGGCUGUAGCAGGUCCCAAGGGUUGGGCUGUUCGCCCAUUAAAGCGGUACGCGAGCUGGGUUCAGAACGUCGUGAGACAGUUCGGUCCCUAUCCGGCGCAGGCGGAGGAUAUUUGAGAGGAGCUGUCCUUAGUACGAGAGGACCGGGAUGGACGGACCACUGGUGUAUCUGUUGGCUAUCAGAGCCAUGGCAGAGUAGCCAAGUCCGGCAGGGAUAAACGCUGAAGGCAUCUAAGCGUGAAGCCCCCCUCAAGAUGAGAUAUCCCUCAGAAAUGAGUAAGACCCCUUGAAGACUACGAGGUAGAUAGGAAUGAGGUGUAAGCACAGCAAUGUGUUCAGCUGACAUUUACUAAUCGGUCGAGGGCUUGACCG
rnacentral:rRNA from 1 species